rnacentral:rRNA from 1 species
GCAGUCGAGCGAUGGAUUAAGAGCUUGCUCUUAUGAAGUUAGCGGCGGACGGGUGAGUAACACGUGGGUAACCUGCCCAUAAGACUGGGAUAACUCCGGGAAACCGGGGCUAAUACCGAGAUAAUAUUUUGAACUGCAUGGUUCGAAAUUGAAAGGCGGCUUCGGCUGUCACUUAUGGAUGGACCCGCGUCGCAUUAGCUAGUUGGUGAGGUAACGGCUCACCAAGGCAACGAUGCGUAGCCGACCUGAGAGGGUGAUCGGCCACACUGGGACUGAGACACGGCCCAGACUCCUACGGGAGGCAGCAGUAGGGAAUCUUCCGCAAUGGACGAAAGUCUGAC